rnacentral:rRNA from 1 species
AAAUUGAAGAGUUUGAUCAUGGCUCAGAUUGAACGCUGGCGGCAGGCCUAACACAUGCAAGUCGAACGGUAACAGGAAACAGCUUGCUGUUUCGCUGACGAGUGGCGGACGGGUGAGUAAUGUCUGGGAAACUGCCUGAUGGAGGGGGAUAACUACUGGAAACGGUAGCUAAUACCGCAUAACGUCGCAAGACCAAAGAGGGGGACCUUAGGGCCUCUUGCCAUCGGAUGUGCCCAGAUGGGAUUAGCUAGUAGGUGGGGUAAAGGCUCACCUAGGCGACGAUCCCUAGCUGGUCUGAGAGGAUGACCAGCCACACUGGAACUGAGACACGGUCCAGACUCCUACGGGAGGCAGCAGUGGGGAAUAUUGCACAAUGGGCGCAAGCCUGAUGCAGCCAUGCCGCGUGUAUGAAGAAGGCCUUCGGGUUGUAAAGUACUUUCAGCGGGGAGGAAGGGAGUAAAGUUAAUACCUUUGCUCAUUGACGUUACCCGCAGAAGAAGCACCGGCUAACUCCGUGCCAGCAGCCGCGGUAAUACGGAGGGUGCAAGCGUUAAUCGGAAUUACUGGGCGUAAAGCGCACGCAGGCGGUUUGUUAAGUCAGAUGUGAAAUCCCCGGGCUCAACCUGGGAACUGCAUCUGAUACUGGCAAGCUUGAGUCUCGUAGAGGGGGG